AUGCCCACGGAAAUCUGCCGAGCGGUGGGAAUGCACGCCAUCUCGGACCUGCGCUCCUCGCAGACGGUGCGGCUGCUCAGCAAGGGGCCGGAGUAUCUGCGGCGGCAGCUGGAGGCCGGCACCCCGGGCCGGAGGAGCGCCGUGGAGCGGCUGGCGGCCGAUAAGGCCAAGUACGUGAAAAGCCAGCAGGUAACGAGCAGCAAGCAGGAGCCCGCGAGGGUGCCCGGCUCCGCGUCGGAGAGCAGCGGCGAGAGCUGCUCGGCGGAGCGCGAGGCGGCGGGCCGGGCGCGCGGCGGCGGCGGGCCGGGCCCCCCGGGGCCGGAGGCGGCCGGCGGGGCGGCGUGCACCCGCCGGGCCCCGCCACCGCCGCCGCGCGGGCCCCCCGCCGCCCGCCGCAGCCACCCCCGGAGGCAGCUGCGGCCCGACUCCCUGGUCAUCUACCGCCAGAAGUGCGAGUUCGUGCGCGGCCAGGGCCAGGGCGGCCCGCGGGGCAGCGUGGUGCGGAGGCUGCUCCACGGGCCCCCAAAGGAGAAGCCCAGCGUGAUCAUGGAGGCGGCCAGCGGCGCGGAGAGCAGGGAGCCCGGCUGCGACGACCACGAGCCGAGCGAGCCCGGCGAGCGCCCACGGGAGCGCGAGAGACCCCCGGAGCUGCCGCCCGCUCCUGCGGAGGCCCGGGAGGUGAGGCGGGGCGGCCUCCACCGCUCCCGCUCGGACAUCAGCUCUCGCUACUCCAAGUCCUUCUCCGAGUUCGACACCUUCUUCAAGUACUGCGGCCUCGACGCGGAGGUCAUCGAGGACCUCGGCCGGGAGAACUUCUCCGCCGUUUCCGACGGCGUCUCCUUCAAGGUGCGCAGCGUCAGCGUGGCGACGUCCGAAAGCGACUUCACGAGGCACAGCGGGGACGACGGCCUGCUGGAGGACGAGCUGGCCGAGCAGGUGCCCAGCAGCACCUCCGUCGUCGAGCGCAACGCCCGCAUAAUCAAGUGGCUCUACACCUGCAAGAAAGCCAAGGAGGCCCACGCGGCGCGCCGGGAGCUGGCCUGACGGCGCUGCGGCCGGGGCGCUCAAGUGCUACACUUUCUUUGACAAUGGGCCAUCAGGAUCCCUGUCUUGGAAGAUGAACAACAGCAAACACAGGAAGGAACUUUUCCUCUUCUGGCUCAUGACUACUUUGUCCAAGUUUAGCAUUUUCUUAUUGCCUCAUUCCCUCUCCCCUGUCCCCAGGCAGCCUCACUCUUUGCCACAAACACAGGGAUGUUCAAGAGCACAACAAGAAGAAGUAGAGGUUGGGAACUGUGCCACAGCGGAGAGCAGGAAGUGAAAGUUCCCAGAAAAGCAAAGCAUGGUUGCUAUCUACAACAGACCUUAACAUUCAGCAGCAGAUCACCACCCCCGGAUGCCAUGCGGGGAUAUGACAGAAGGUUUGCGUUGCACACCCAUCUCUUUGCAGCGAUGCAUGUGUCAGCAGUGAUGGGAGGAGAAAGUGGGAAUGAGAUGGCAAUGACCCCUGGGUCAGGCGUUCCUUGCAGGCAGACAGGCUCCACCCGGCCAUUCAAAGGCACUGUCUUUCUAGGGCUGUUUAAACAUGGCUCAGCCUGACAUCAUUAGACACUAUUUGCCUGGCUGGUGAGGGCUAAUAUGGCAGCUUUAUCUGGGAUACUUAGUAAAUAUGCUGUAAGCUAAAACCCUGCCAAGCCUCUGUUUCUUCAAGAGUGUCCAAACCAAGUUAGAAUACCUUGUAUCCAUCUAGUCUGCUCAGUAGCUUGCUCAGCCAGCUUUUUAAUUCAGAUGCUGAAUUAAAAACUUUGCCUAAAGUUUGUUCAGGAGCACAAUUCUAAGAAACAGGUAGUCCAAAAUCAGAGAUGAUUUUGUGUGGAUAUUACAUUGCUCCAAAAUAGUGGAAUUUACAUUUACACAGACUCCUUGACUUGGUUUGCAACAUGUCUCUGAUGCUGCCAGAGUGGGUUGUAUUUCAGCAUUUGGAAGCCUUCGAUUUAACAUCUUUAAUUUUUUGCAGCGCAAGUAAAGGGCUUAUAGAAUCACAUUAGCAAAUUACAUCCCAGGCAUGGGAUGUAGCAUGGGUCUGGAGUAGCACUGUGCAGGAAGGCAUACUAGGACACAGGCAAAACCAUGCCAGAAAAAAGUUGGGAUGGGGUAAGACCCCAAGUAUAGAUAGCAACUUACUCAAUAUCAUCACUAAAGUAGUAAUACUUCAUUUGAAAUGGACAAGCUAAAUAUAUUUUUAAAAUUGACUAGAAGUACUUUGUAUCAUCACUGUAGUGAAUGGAUCCUUUGCAGAUCACAGAAUUUGCUGGCUAUGCCUUAGAUAUUUACCUCAGUCAGUCAUUACUUACUAAAAACUGCCUUACACCAAAGUGUUUAUUUGCAAAUAUUAUAAACUACCAAAAGAAAUCAAACAGAAAGCCAGAUCUGUGAUGGCUGCCCUGAAGUCAAAGGAGCAACAACUAGAACUUAGAGUGCUGCAGAGGUGAAAAGUUUACUUUGUGUUACCAUGGAUAUAGUGUCCUGUUUGCAGCACUGGACUUUACCUGGCUGUCAGACCUGUACUGUAACGAGUCCAGAAAAAUGAGAUUUCAUUCUCCACAUUCCAGUAGGGUUAUACAUAGCCAGCGCUAAGCUAACAGUGCUUGCCGUGUUCUGACCCAUAACAGCUGCCAGCACAUCAGGGUGGAAGCAUAAAUAAAUUAACCACUUGAGGUGCAUUUAUAAGUGUUUGUUAGUCUUGGUGAAUAAGUCUGUGCAAGUGAGAAGGGCAGGAGUGAACCAAAACAAUUGUGUAAAGCAUUAAUUGUAGGAAGAACAGUUUUCUAUUUUAAAUUCUACAAACUCCAUGCGCUGACAGACUUGCCCUUUAAGUGCUUAUCACAUGUUUCAGUUGAUAUCAGUGAAAUUCACAGCAAGGUUGCCUGGUUGAAUUUACAUCUGUCUUCAAUGUGCUUUUCAGUCACUGGAUAGUUAUUUCUCAAUUACAGUAACUGUUUGAGAAUGCAGGGCAUUUGUCUUUAUUGUUUUAGUGUUAUAUGCUAAGGUCUACAUGUCUGAAGUUGUCUAGAUAGAUAGAUAGAUAACACUUCCAGAUAAAAUAAUUGUUGAGCCUGCUUUACACUUAGCAGAAAACUAAGCAGUUUGCAUUAUUGAGCUUCUGCAGACUUAGAGGGAAGCUAGUACAUGGGGAUAUUUUUGUUAAAUAAUUAAAUUUUGUGUGUAUUUGUUACAUUUUUAUUAAAGAAUGAUUCUUGGAAAACUACAUCUCAGGAUGCUGCUAAUAGGAUAAGAUUUAUGCACUGAAGGUGCAGUUUUUAAGGAACACAAUCUACAUUUAUUAGUCAGGAACAUAACCUGGUAUAUCUGUACUUCUCAUGCUUAUUUUGUAAGGUACUGUACCAUAUAAUUAUUUAAAUGCUUUUGUCAAAAGCUAAUGACUUCUUUUCCUUGAAAAUACAUAUUAAUGCCUGUAGACAGCUUGGAGUUCAGGAAAAAUCUUUUGCCUUACAAAUCAGUGCUUCACCACAAUAGAAGAGAAUUGUUUUGCUUUGUUUCCAGAGAAAGAUUUUUAGUUUAAUUUUCAAACUUAUAUUUGUUUAUUGUUUUUUUUCUAUCAGAAGUUCUAGAAAGUUAAGAUGAUUCUGCCAGGAAGAAAUGGGAGGAUGCAUUGGUAGUGGAUUUUAAAUGGUAGGAAGGAAGGUAUUUAAUUUGUCUGAAAAUACAGAUCAUCAGCCUUGUUCAAAAUCAGGGAAGAUUUUUUGAUAGAUAUUAGUGAAAUCAGAAUUGGCCUGUUUCUGAUUUCUUUUAAUCCCACUUUCUAACUUUAUGCACUAUUUAACAGUGCUGUGGUGAUUUUUCACACUGAUAGUAGCAAAAUUUAACUGUCUUUGUUCAAACUUUCAUAGGAACCCUAAACUCUCCAUGGCAUUAUUUACUUCAGAGAAGAUUUGGACUUCUCUGAGAUCUUUCCCUGAUAAGCUAUACAUUCUCUUUCUUUAAAAAUCUGCUGGAUAGGCUAAUAGCCUACCUUUCCUAGUAUACCAGGAAGACAGUAGCUGACAAUCCUUCUUUCUCCAUAAAUCUUGGGAAUUGAUAUCUUCAGUUCUUAUUCCACAGCAGUAGGAGCACUAUUCUUCCUCAGGUCCUGUUACUGUUACAUGCUUUUCUUUCCUUUUUGGGGUGUUUCAGUCAUAUCCCUCAAAAUGAGAAAAAAUGUUAAUUUUAUCCAUUUUCUAUCAAUUACCAUAUUUUUUCUUCUGUUUAAUUAUAAAAGACGUGUGAUUUGGAAGAGGAUUUCUUUCUGUAAAGUGGGCUGUUGUGGAAUGAGCAAAAGCUUUGCUGAUCGAGUUAGGAUUAGUCUUCUUGAAAACCUAAAAUCAGGGCUGAGGGUGAAGACAAGUCAUAAACUGAACAGUUUUGUUUAACCAGAGCUGUGUAAACUUAAAUAGUCAAAUGUGAGUGCAAGUGUGCAGUGCUAACAUCUAUUUAUACCCCAGUGUUUCAAAAUGCACUAUUACUGUGACAAGGGGCAAGGUCCGUGGCUAUAGCACAACAGGUGAAAGAUAGUCUGUUUUUUAUGGCCUAGAAGCUACUAUUUGCAGUAAAGGCAUUGGAUGGAGUCUGUAAUUCUUGUAAUAUAGUGUAAAUAUUAAUAUACAGGACUCUCUAAGUAACAGGUACAGAUUAUUUUAUAAAAUGUGUAUUAAUGUUUCAAGGCAUAUAAGUCCUCAUGCUUUGUGAAAUCAGCUGAGCAUCAUAUUGAUGGGGAUUAAGGAGAAGCUUUCUCCUGGGAGCAGGUCAUCCUGUGUUGCCUGCUGUAAGGUUUUUUUCAUCCUUUUUUGAAUGCUGUGAAGUCAAGUACUGGUCAGAUCUAGUAUGGAAGUUUCUAAGUUGCUAUGUUUAUUUUCAUACAA